rnacentral:misc_RNA from 1 species
UAUUUAAGAAAGUAUUUUUCUCAACAGCAGCUCUAACAACAAUGCUAAUCAGAUCUAUGCUUUGUAUAAAAGAUUUGGUGAAGGGUCUCAUUGUUGAAUGCCUUUGAACCCUUCAAUAAUAGUUGAGUAGGAGAAAUGAUUAAGACUUUUUUAUUGUCAACAAAUAUCCUAGAGCAUAGCAUUUGUUCCUCCUGUAACUACUACUAGAGUACCUAUAAAAUAAAAA